rnacentral:rRNA from 1 species
AUUGAACGCUGGCGGCAGGCCUAACACAUGCAAGUCGAGCGGAUGAAGGGAGCUUGCUCCUGGAUUCAGCGGCGGACGGGUGAGUAAUGCCUAGGAAUCUGCCUGGUAGUGGGGGAUAACGUCCGGAAACGGGCGCUAAUACCGCAUACGUCCUGAGGGAGAAAGUGGGGGAUCUUCGGACCUCACGCUAUCAGAUGAGCCUAGGUCGGAUUAGCUAGUUGGUGGGGUAAAGGCCUACCAAGGCGACGAUCCGUAACUGGUCUGAGAGGAUGAUCAGUCACACUGGAACUGAGACACGGUCCAGACUCCUACGGGAGGCAGCAGUGGGGAAUAUUGGACAAUGGGCGAAAGCCUGAUCCAGCCAUGCCGCGUGUGUGAAGAAGGUCUUCGGAUUGUAAAGCACUUUAAGUUGGGAGGAAGGGCAGUAAGUUAAUACCUUGCUGUUUUGACGUUACCAACAGAAUAAGCACCGGCUAACUUCGUGCCAGCAGCCGCGGUAAUACGAAGGGUGCAAGCGUUAAUCGGAAUUACUGGGCGUAAAGCGCGCGUAGGUGGUUCAGCAAGUUGGAUGUGAAAUCCCCGGGCUCAACCUGGGAACUGCAUCCAAAACUACUGAGCUAGAGUACGGUAGAGGGUGGUGGAAUUUCCUGUGUAGCGGUGAAAUGCGUAGAUAUAGGAAGGAACACCAGUGGCGAAGGCGACCACCUGGACUGAUACUGACACUGAGGUGCGAAAGCGUGGGGAGCGAACAGG